AUAGCCCUAAAAUUUUAUCAUAUAUUUUUCUCUUUAUCUUUCUUCCAGAUCCCAUGGAAAUAUCAGUAAACUUAGAGAAAGGUACACUUGUUCAACCCUUUUUAUUGAUUCAGAUCAAAACAUACAUCAUAGAAGGAGAUAGAAAAGGGGACAGAAUACUUCAGCCUUAAGAAGUUAAGGUGUCGUGAGCGUCAUGCGUUUUUAAGGCCUCAAGGGAAUACAUUGUCAGGUUCAAGGGACAGCAAAAGCUUCAAGGGAAAAUGUUGCCAGUUUUACUAGAGGACAGAAUCAAGCUAACGCAAAUUUCAGGCACCAUGCUUUCAAUAUGGUUCUUGAUCCAGCGCUUGCUCUAACUAAAGAAGAUCCGGAAGAUGUUUAGCGCUUGGUUUUAGUUGAAGUUACAUGAGUAACUCAAUUAACAGUUCAAAAGUAGUUUAAUUAGCGCCGAUAAGUACAAUUACUGCUUAAGAUAUAUUGAUGUAAUAUUUUGUUUAAAUAGUUUUCCUCUCUAAUAUUAUGUUCAUAUGUUACAUAUUUUAUACGACGA